GAUCCCCAUGAGGAAGCAGCACAGACCAGGGGUGCCGUGGUGGAGGCAGCUCCUGCGCACUGGGUGCUGGCAGCUCCUGUCCCUCUCCAGGACGGCUCUGCAGGGGCUGCAGUGGCUCUGGAGGCUGCUGUGGUACCUUCUGAUCUGCUCCACGAGCUGCUGGGACAUCGCCUUCCAGUUUGCUGAGGAGCUGCUGAGCGUGGACCAUGGCACUGAGGGCAGUGAGGAAGAGGAGGACGGGACAGCUGCUGCCGCACUGGAGCCCGGGCAGACAGUGCUGGAGCUGCAGCAGCUGCGUGAUGCCAAUGAGGCCGCGCUGGGGAGGUUGGAGGCGCUGGAGGCCGACGUCCGCUUCCUCUGCACUGAGCUGGGGGCUGAGAAACUGCUGUGGAGCAGUCGGUUCCUGGAGCUGCUGCGGGAGCAGCAAGGGCUGCGGCAGCGGCUCCUGCAGAGGGACAGCAGAGACAGCCCUGAGCUGCCCGGAGAAGCCGAGGAGCUGAAUGGGAAUGAGGGAGAGGAUCCUGCAGGUAGAGCUGGGGACAUGGGGUUGCAGCAGGGGACCAGGGAGCUGGUGUUUGAGGACAGGGCACCCAGCCCCUGCACCCCUCCAAAGGACUCCACUGGAUGGAGCAGCACUGACAGCCCAUCCCAUGCCCAGGCAGCUUCCAGUAGCCCAUGGCUCUGUCCCAGGCAAGAGCUCAUCAUCUCACAGCGCUCAGUGCCAGCCCUGUCCUGUCCUGCCCAGCCCAUUUAG
rnacentral:lncRNA from 1 species